AGGGCACCACCAGGAGUGGAGCCUGCGGCUUAAUUUGACUCAACACGGGGAAACUCACCCGGCCCGGACACCGUAAGGAUUGACAGAUUGAUAGCUUUUUCAUGAUUCGGUGGAUGGUGGUGCAUGGCCGUUCUUAGUUCGUGGAGCGAUCUGUCUGGUUUAUUCCGAUAACGAGCGAGACUCUAGCCUACUAAAUAGUUCGCACAUUGUCUCUGUGUGUGUGACUUCUUAGAGGGAUUUUCGGUGUUCAGCCGCGCGAAAUUGAGCAAUAACAGGUCUGUGAUGCCCUUAGAUGUCCGGGGCUGCACGCGCGCUACACUGGCAAAAUCAGCGUGCUUGUCCUUCCCCGAAAGGGGUUGGUAAACCCUUGAAAAUUUGCCGUGAUUGGGAUUGGAGAUUGCAAUUAUUCUCCAUGAACGAGGAAUUCCAAGUAAGUGCGAGUCAUCAGCUCGCGUUGAUUACGUCCCUGCCCUUUGUACACACCGCCCGUCGCUGCCCGGGACUGAGCCAUUUCGAGAA
rnacentral:rRNA from 1 species